rnacentral:misc_RNA from 1 species
GAUGAAGAACGCAGCAAAAUGCGAUAAGUAAUGUGAAUUGCAGAAUUCAGUGAAUCAUCGAAUCUUUGAACGCACAUUGCGCCCGCCGGUAUUCUGGCGGGCAUGCCUGUUCGAGCGUCAUUUCAACCCUCAAGCCCUCGGGUUUGGUGUUGGGGAUCGGCGAGCCUUUCUGGCAAGCCGGCCCCGAAAUCUAGUGGCGGUCUCGCUGCAGCCUCCAUUGCGUAGUAGUAAAACCCUCGCAACUGGAACGCGGCGCGGCCAAGCCGUUAAACCCCCAACUUCUGAAUGUUGACCUCGGAUCAGGUAGGAAUACCCGCUGAACUUAAGCAUAUCAAUAAGCGGAGGA